rnacentral:rRNA from 1 species
UGCCAAUGGCACUGCCCGGUAGCUAAAUGCGGAAGAGAUAAGUGCUGAAAGCAUCUAAGCACGAAACUUGCCCCGAGAUGAGUUCUCCCUGAGACUUAAAGUCUCCUGAAGGAACGUUGAAGACGACGACGUUGAUAGGCCGGGUGUGUAAGCGCAGCGAUGCGUUGAGCUAACCGGUACUAAUGAACCGUGAGGCUUAACCUU